UCCGCCGUGAGGCGGAAUCCGAAGGAAGCCGGCGGCAAACCUCCGGUCCGACGAACAGGAACCGCAUAGGAGGCUAACAGCAGUUGGAUGAGCUUGCGAACCAAAGCGAAGUCCUUGCUACCGAAGGCUGCUGAGAGUAUAUGCGGCGGAUGGAUGGAGGGAAAGUCAACGCU
rfam:Thermanaeromonas toyohensis ToBE genome assembly, chromosome: I